GACGGAGGAUGCAAGCGUUAUCCGGAAUGAUUGGGCGUAAAGCGUCCGCAGGUGGCAGUUCAAGUCUGCUGUCAAAGACCGGGGCUUAACUUCGGAAAGGCAGUGGAAACUGAACAGCUAGAGUAUGGUAGGGGCAGAGGGAAUUCCUGGUGUAGCGGUGAAAUGCGUAGAGAUCCGGAAGAACACCGGUGGCGAAGGCGGCCUGCUGGGCAGUUGCUGACGCUGAUGCGCGACAGCGUGGGGAGCAAACAGG
rnacentral:rRNA from 1 species